rnacentral:rRNA from 1 species
GAUAAACGCUGGCGGCGUGCCUAAUACAUGCAAGUCGAGCGAACGGACGAGAAGCUUGCUUCUCUGAUGUUAGCGGCGGACGGGUGAGUAACACGUGGAUAACCUACCUAUAAGACUGGGAUAACUUCGGGAAACCGGAGCUAAUACCGGAUAAUAUUUUGAACCGCAUGGUUCAAAAGUGAAAGACGGUCUUGCUGUCACUUAUAGAUGGAUCCGCGCUGCAUUAGCUAGUUGGUAAGGUAACGGCUUACCAAGGCAACGAUGCAUAGCCGACCUGAGAGGGUGAUCGGCCACACUGGAACUGAGACACGGUCCAGACUCCUACGGGAGGCAGCAGUAGGGAAUCUUCCGCAAUGGGCGAAAGCCUGACGGAGCAACGCCGCGUGAGUGAUGAAGGUCUUCGGAUCGUAAAACUCUGUUAUUAGGGAAGAACAUAUGUGUAAGUAACUGUGCACAUCUUGACGGUACCUAAUCAGAAAGCCACGGCUAACUACGUGCCAGCAGCCGCGGUAAUACGUAGGUGGCAAGCGUUAUCCGGAAUUAUUGGGCGUAAAGCGCGCGUAGGCGGUUUUUUAAGUCUGAUGUGAAAGCCCACGGCUCGACCGUGGAGGGUCAUUGGAAACUGGAAAACUUGAGUGCAGAAGAGGAAAGUGGAAUUCCAUGUGUAGCGGUGAAAUGCGCAGAGAUAUGGAGGAACACCAGUGGCGAAGGCGACUUUCUGGUCUGUAACUGACGCUGAUGUGCGAAAGCGUGGGGAUCAAACAGGAUUAGAUACCCUGGUAGUCCACGCCGUAAACGAUGAGUGCUAAGUGUUAGGGGGUUUCCGCCCCUUAGUGCUGCAGCUAACGCAUUAAGCACUCCGCCUGGGGAGUACGACCGCAAGGUUGAAACUCAAAGGAAUUGACGGGGACCCGCACAAGCGGUGGAGCAUGUGGUUUAAUUCGAAGCAACGCGAAGAACCUUACCAAAUCUUGACAUCCUUUGACAACUCUAGAGAUAGAGCCUUCCCCUUCGGGGGACAAAGUGACAGGUGGUGCAUGGUUGUCGUCAGCUCGUGUCGUGAGAUGUUGGGUUAAGUCCCGCAACGAGCGCAACCCUUAAGCUUAGUUGCCAUCAUUAAGUUGGGCACUCUAAGUUGACUGCCGGUGACAAACCGGAGGAAGGUGGGGAUGACGUCAAAUCAUCAUGCCCCUUAUGAUUUGGGCUACACACGUGCUACAAUGGACAAUACAAAGGGCAGCGAAACCGCGAGGUCAAGCAAAUCCCAUAAAGUUGUUCUCAGUUCGGAUUGUAGUCUGCAACUCGACUACAUGAAGCUGGAAUCGCUAGUAAUCGUAGAUCAGCAUGCUACGGUGAAUACGUUCCCGGGUCU